AUUGAACGCUGGCGGCAUGCCUUACACAUGCAAGUCGAACGGCAGCACGGGAGCAAUCCUGGUGGCGAGUGGCGAACGGGUGAGUAAUAUAUCGGAACGUGCCCAGUCGUGGGGGAUAACGUAGCGAAAGCUACGCUAAUACCGCAUACGAUCUAUGGAUGAAAGCGGGGGAUCGCAAGACCUCGCGCGAUUGGAGCGGCCGAUAUCAGAUUAGGUAGUUGGUGAGGUAAAGGCUCACCAAGCCGACGAUCUGUAGCUGGUCUGAGAGGACGACCAGCCACACUGAGACUGAGACACGGCCCAGACUCCUACGGGAGGCAGCAGUGGGGAAUUUUGGACAAUGGGCGCAAGCCUGAUCCAGCAAUGCCGCGUGCAGGAUGAAGGCC
rnacentral:rRNA from 1 species